ACCCGUAGUCAAGAGGGAAACAGCCCAGACCAACAGCUAAGGUCCCCAAUGCCGUACUAAGUGGUAAAGGAUGUGGAGUUUCGAAAACAACCAGGAUGUUGGCUUAGAAGCAGCCACCAUUAAAAGAGUGCGUAAUAGCUCACUGGUCGAGAGACUCUGCGCCGAAGAUGACCGGGGCUAAAGUACGGAACCGAAGCUUUGGCAUGUAUGUAAAUACAUGGGUAGGGGAGCGUUCCUGCAUGGGCGAAGCCUGACCGGAAGGACAGGUGGACAGGCAGGAAGUGAGAAUGCCGGUAUGAGUAGCGAAAAGAAAGGUGAGAAUCCUUUCCACCGAAAGCCUAAGGGUUCCUGGGCAACGAUCGUCGACCCAGGGUAAGUCGGGACCUAAUCCGAGGCGAAGACGCAUAGGAGAUGGACAACAGGUUGAAAUUCCUGUACCGACGUCGUCUGUUUGAGCGAUGGAGUGACACAAGAAGGAAAGUUCGCAUGCGAUUGGAAGAGCAUGUCUAAGCAGGUAGGUUGAAUACCAGGCAAAUCCGGUAUUCUAAAAGCCGAGAAGUGAUAGGGAGCCUGUAGAAAUACAGGUGAAGGAACCGGGACUCGAUUGUCAAGAAAAGCUUCUAGUGAGGACGACGCCGCCCGUACCAAAACCGACACAGGUAGGCAAGAAGAGAAUUCUAAGGUGCGCGGGAAAACCCUCGUUAAGGAACUCGGCAAAAUGUAUCCGUAACUUCGGGAAAAGGAUAACCCAGAGUACGUGAAGGAAAGAAACAUCCGGAGCGGGAAUGGGUGGCACAAGAGAGGCCCAAGCGACUGUUUACCACAAACACAGGCGUCUGCUAAAGAGAAAUCUGAUGUAUAGAUGCUGACACCUGCCCGGUGCUGGAAGGUUAAGAGGACGUGUUAGCCGUAAGGCGAAGCAGAGAAUUGAAGCCCCAGUAAACGGCGGCCGUAACUAUAACGGUCCUAAGGUAGCGAAAUUCCUUGUCGGGUAAGUUCCGACCCGCACGAAAGGUGUAACGAUUUGGGCACUGUCUCAACGAGGGACCCGGUGAAAUUGAAGUACCUGUGAAGAUGCAGGUUACCCGCGACUGGACAGAAAGACCCCAUGGAGCUUUACUGUAACCUGAGAUUGAAUUUUGGUAGAAGAUGUACAGGAUAGUUGGGAGACGUAGAAGCGCGCACGCCAGUGUACGCAGAGUCGAUGGUGGGAUACCAACCUUGUUUUAUUGAAAUUCUAACGAGAGCCGUAACGAGGCUGCGGACAGUCUCAGGCGGGCAGUUUGACUGGGGCGGUCGCCUCCGAAAGAGCAACGGAGGCGCCCAAAGGUUCCCUCAGCGCGGACGGAAACCGCGCGAAGAGUGUAAAGGCAGAAGGGAGCUUGACUGCGAGACGGACAGGUCGAGCAGGGACGAAAGUCGGGCUUAGUGAUCCGGUGGUAGAGAGUGGAAUUGCCAUCGCUCAACGGAUAAAAGCUACCCUGGGGAUAACAGGCUUAUCUCUCCCAAGAGUCCAUAUCGACGGGGAGGUUUGGCACCUCGAUGUCGGCUCAUCACAUCCUGGGGCUGUAGUAGGUCCCAAGGGUUGGGCUGUUCGCCCAUUAAAGUGGUACGCGAGCUGGGUUCAGAACGUCGUGAGACAGUUCGGUCCCUAUCCGUCGCGGGCGUAGGAAACUUGAAAGGGGCUGCUCCUAGUACGAGAGGACCGGAGUGGACGAACCAAUGGUGUAUCGGUUAUGCCGCCAGGCGUACAGCCGAGUAGCUACGUUCGGGACGGAUAAACGCUGAAAGCAUCUAAGCGUGAAACCAGCCUAAAGAUGAGGUUUCU
rnacentral:rRNA from 1 species